rnacentral:lncRNA from 1 species
UGGGGUCUUCUUUACAAGACCAGCUACAGCCACUGUUCCUGGCCUCAUACAGGGUGUUCUAGAAAGGGAUUCCUCCAGCCCCAAAGCACAGCAAGGAACCAAGUGCUCCAGAGAGACAAGUGAAUUGUUACCUGUCACAGCAUCCCCAUGUUCAUCUCUUAAUACUUGUGGGUGUGAUACAAACCACCUAAAAGAGAUUCACUGCCUCUUUUACUGCCCAGACUAGACUGUUUCCUGUGCUCCAUCAGUGCAGUUCUUCUGUGCAUUUUGGUUUGGUUUGCAAGACUUUAAUCAAGAAAAAAAAAUCUAAUGAGCAGCAAUUUGAAAUACAGCAUUUGGAAAGGUCAAAAUGGUCCAUUACAUCCUUAUUAUCCAAAAGAACAGAUGAGUUUAAUAUCCUGACAGCAUUUUCCUGUGAAAAAGAUAUUAAACAAGAACUGAAAAUGGCAUAAGGUUCCCUCUUCCUUUCCUUUGACAAAGACUGUAACAAGAUGAUGAAAUUGUACAGAAUAAAUUUCAUCCUACUUUAAUGUUCA